UGACUGCUACUGCCAAAUGAAGAAUUACCCCUCCAAGGUCCCUGUUUUUUAACCAAGCCUUCCAAGGCUGCAGUCAAUCCACUUGCUUCCUCCGGAAAGCUUGUGCUAGACAAAGACAUGUGUCCACACAACACAAUAUUUUCUUGUAGCACCAAAAUCAUAUAAUAGUUUGUGAAGUUUGACUGGCCCAGCAAUGGUACAGGAAAGACUGAGCUACUGCCUGACAAGUCUCCAUAUCUGCUUAGCCACCCAACAGCUUGCAGUUGUCCCUAUGUUGGCCUAAAGGUGAUUUUCUAGGUUAAAACCUGCUACUUGUCCUUUGAAUUACACCUUGACUAUGAUUUCAGCAAACCAGACCUGACACCAAGCGCAGGAAUCAGACUUCAUUAGCAAUUCUAAGUCAAAUCAAGGAAGAUUAAAGGAAACAAAAACAAAAAACAAAACAAAAAAAGCCUUUCAUACUGUAUGAAUUACAUUUUGCAAGCUUGAUUUCAAAUCAUUUUCUAUAUAGCAGAAGUACAUUCCAUGUAACUGUGCCUUGGUAGUAAACAUUAUUUCACAGGAGAUAAUUCUAAGAAGAAUCAGAUUUUUUAAAUCCCAUCAACCUGAAAUCCAAACAAUAGCCAAUUGUAGGAAAAAAUGUUUCCAAGAGCCAAACAUUUCUGAAAUUAACUUAUCUCUGUUCUAAAGGAGCAUGAUAGAGACAGCAUUUUUUUAUUUUAUUGCAUGUCCUACAUUAAGAACCACUGAAUGAACUGAUCUCCAUCUUCUGGAAAAGCAGUAUCAAGGAUUUUUUAAUCACUGUUCUGUAUAUUCUGAGAGGAAAAUAACUAGUUUCAGUUAACAAGCAGACACAAUGGGAAAUGUUUUCACACAGCUGAACUCUCAGCAUGCAUAAAGAACACUACGGGCAGCUGGACACAUUGCAAACUACACUGCUGGUGAGACCCCAGCUGUCUACCACCUUCAUUUGGAGAGGGCCCAUUCCAACAUAUUGGGCCCAGAAAACCCUGUUGGCACACCACAGAUCAGAGUCAAUAAUAUCCUGACUGAGAUGGGUUGACCAGAACUAUACACAGGAUUCCAAAUGUGGCUUCACUGUAGAUAUAUAGACAUUAAAUGUCAGCUGUUUUA